GAUGUGUGCUAGUCAGUGGCUUAAUUUGGGGAUUCAACGAUAACCUUCCUCCAUCAUUCUUUUGUAAACAUUUAGACAAAUUAGAACAAUUACAGUACACUCGCCACCAAUGAUGGCAUUAAACAGAUACAAGAGGAUAAAAUCAAAGAAUCACCAAAUUAAGCCACUGACUAGCACACAUCAGUAAUCCUAUACUCUUGAGGGAAAUAGUUAGCUGCUGCUGUGGCCAAC
rnacentral:misc_RNA from 1 species